AGAGUUUGAUCCUGGCUCAGGAUGAACGCUGGCGGUCUGCUUAACACAUGCAAGUCGAACGAAUCCCUUCGGGGAUGAGUGGCGGACGGGUGAGUAACGCGUGAGAAUCUGCCUUUUGGUCGGGGACAACCACUGGAAACGGUGGCUAAUACCCGAUAAGCCUGCGGGUAAAAGAUUAAUUGCCAAGAGAGGAGCUCGCGUCUGAUUAGCUAGUUGGUGAGGUAAAGGCUCACCAAGGCGGCGAUCAGUAGCUGGUCUGAGAGGAUGAUCAGCCACACUGGGACUGAGACACGGCCCAGACUCCUACGGGAGGCAGCAGUGGGGAAUUUUCCGCAAUGGGCGAAAGCCUGACGGAGCAAGACCGCGUGAGGGAGGAAGGCUCUUGGGUUGUAAACCUCUUUUGUCAGGGAAGAACACAAUGACGGUACCUGAAGAAUCAGCAUCGGCUAACUCCGUGCCAGCAGCCGCGGUAAUACGGAGGAUGCAAGCGUUGUCCGGAUUUAUUGGGUUUAAAGGGUGCGCAGGUGGCAGUUCAAGUCUGCUGUCAAAGACCGGGGCUUAACUUCGGAAAGGCAGUGGAAACUGAACAGCUAGAGUAUGGUAGGGGCAGAGGGAAUUCCUGGUGUAGCGGUGAAAUGCGUAGAGAUCAGGAAGAACAUCGGUGGCGAAGGCGCUCUGCUGGACCAUAACUGACACUCAGGGACGAAAGCUAGGGGAGCGAAUGGGAUUAGAUACCCCUGUAGUCC
rnacentral:rRNA from 1 species